CAAGACCGGUGCCAGCCGCCGCGGUAACACCGGCAGCUCAAGUGGUAGCCGCUUUUAUUGGGCCUAAAGCGUCCGUAGCCGGUCUGAUAAGUCUCUGGUGAAAUCCCACAGCUUAACUGUGGGAAUUGCUGGAGAUACUAUCAUGACUCGAGGUCGGGAGAGGCUGGAGGUACUCCCAGGGUAGGGGUGAAAUCCUGUAAUCCUGGGAGGACCACCUGUGGCGAAGGCGUCCAGCUGGAACGAACCUGACGGUGAGGGACGAA
rnacentral:rRNA from 1 species